AUUGAACGCUGGCGGCAUGCCUUACACAUGCAAGUCGAACGACAGCACGGGUGCUUGCACCUGGUGGCGAGUGGCGAACGGGUGAGUAAUAUAUCGGAACGUACCUUAUUGUGGGGGAUAACGCAGCGAAAGCUGUGCUAAUACCGCAUAAUCCCUAAGGGGGAAAGCGGGGGACCGUAAGGCCUCGCGCAAUUAGAGCGGCCGAUACCUGAUUAGCUAGUUGGUGAGGUAAAGGCUCACCAAGGCAACGAUCAGUAGCUGGUCUGAGAGGACGAUCAGCCACACUGGGACUGAGACACGGCCCAGACUCCUACGGGAGGCAGCAGUGGGGAAUUUUGGACAAUGGGGGCAACCCUGAUCCAGCAAUGCCGCGUGAGUGAAGAAGGCCUUCGGGUUGUAAAGCUCUUUUGUCAGGGAAGAAACAGCAGCUUUAACACAGUAUGCGAAUGACGGUACCUGAAGAAUAAGCACCGGCUAACUACGUGCCAGCCGCCGCGGUAA
rnacentral:rRNA from 1 species